AGAGUUUGAUCCUGACUCAGGAUGAACGCUAGCGGCAGGCCUAAUACAUGCAAGUCGGACGGUAGCCGACCCUUCGGGGCCGGCGAGAGUGGCGGACGGGUGCGUAACGCGUAUGCAACCAACCCCCCACAGCGGGACAGCCGGUGGAAACGCCGGGCAAUCCCGCAUGCCGCCGUGUCGGGGCAUCCCGGCAUGGCGAAAGGCUACGGCCGGUGGGGGACGGGCAUGCGUGCCAUUAGCUGGUUGGCGGGGCGACGGCCCACCAAGGCGACGAUGGCUAGGGGAUCUGAGAGGACGGUCCCCCACACUGGUACUGAGACACGGACCAGACUCCUGCGGGAGGCAGCAGUAAGGGAUAUUGGGCAAUGGGGGGAACCCUGACCCAGCCAUGCCGCGUGAGGGAAUGGGGCCCUACGGGUCGUGAACCUCUUUUGCCGGGGGACAACGGCGGCGUCGAGAACGCCGCGUGCGGGUACCCGGCGAAUAAGCGUCGGCUAACUCCGUGCCAGCAGCCGCGGUAAUACGGAGGACGCGAGCGUUAUCCGGAUUCAUUGGGUUUAAAGGGUGCGCAGGCGGCCUGCCAAGUCAGCGGUGAAAGCCCGGGGCCCAACCCCGGAAGUGCCGUUGAUACUGUCGGGCUGGAAUGCGGUCGAGGCGGGCGGAACGUGGCGUGUAGCGGUGAAAUGCGUAGAUAUGCCACAGAACGCCGAUAGCGGAGGCAGCUCGCCAGGCCUGCAUUGACGCUCGGGCACGAAAGCGUGGGGAUCGAACAGGAUUAGAUACCCUGGUAGUCCACGCCGUAAACG
rnacentral:rRNA from 1 species